rnacentral:rRNA from 1 species
CAGUUCGGAUUGUAGUCUGCAACCCGACUACAUGAAGCUGGAAUCGCUAGUAAUCGCAGAUCAGAAUGCUGCGGUGAAUACGUUCCCGGGUCUUGUACACACCGCCCGUCACACCAUGGGAGUUGGAAAUGCCCGAAGUCGGUGACCUAACCGAAAGGGAGGAGCCGCCGAAGGCAGGUCUGAUAACUGGGGUGAAGUCGUAACAAGGUAUC